CUCUCCUACGGGAGGCAGCAGCGGGGGAUAUUGCACAAUGGGGGAAACCCUGAUGCAGCGACGCCGCGUGGGUGAAGAAGUAUUUCGGUAUGUAAAGCCCUAUCAGCAGGGAAGAAAGAAGACGGUACCUGACUAAGAAGCCCCGGCUAACUACGUGCCAGCAGCCGCGGUAAUACGUAGGGGGCGAGCGUUAUCCGGAUUCACUGGGUGUAAAGGGAGCGUAGACGGCCGUGCAAGCCAGGAGUGAAAGCCCGGGCCCCACCCCGGGACUGCUCUUAGAACUG
rnacentral:rRNA from 1 species